GACGAACGCUGGCGGCGUGCCUAAUACAUGCAAGUCGAACGCUUCUUUCCUCCCGAGUGCUUGCACUCAAUUGGAAAGAGGAGUGGCGGACGGGUGAGUAACACGUGGGUAACCUACCCAUCAGAGGGGGAUAACACUUGGAAACAGGUGCUAAUACCGCAUAACAGUUUAUGCCGCAUGGCAUAUGAGUGAAAGGCGCUUUCGGGUGUCGCUGAUGGAUGGACCCGCGGUGCAUUAGCUAGUUGGUGAGGUAACGGCUCACCAAGGCCACGAUGCAUAGCCGACCUGAGAGGGUGAUCGGCCACACUGGGACUGAGACACGGCCCAGACUCCUACGGGAGGCAGCAGUAGGGAAUCUUCGGCAAUGGACGAAAGUCUGACCGAGCAACGCCGCGUGAGUGAAGAAGGUUUUCGGAUCGUAAAACUCUGUUGUUAGAGAAGAACAAGGACGUUAGUAACUGAACGUCCCCUGACGGUAUCUAACCAGAAAGCCACGGCUAACUACGUG
rnacentral:rRNA from 1 species